CUAAACUAGGCCUUGGGCCUCCACAGGUGAGGAAACCGGGGCGUGGAGAGGCUGUGUUACUUGCUCAAGGUCACAUUACUAGCAAGUUCCAGAUCAAGAUGCAUCCCCAGGCAGUCUGGCUCCAGACUCCGUGCAUUUACCUGCAGAACCCCUCUCCAGCCAGCAUCUGACCUGUGGCCCAGGAGUGUGCACCCUCUGGCAGGUGAUGGGGAGCCCUGGAAGACUUCAGAGCAGGGGAGGGACAAGGAGCAAGGUGGCCGUGGGAAGAUGGCUCCAGCAGCAUGCAGAAGAUGGACAGGAGUGGAUAGGGACAAAGGUGGAAAAGGAGAGAAUAAGCAUCUGCCAUUUGUUCACUGCAGAGGGUUUGCUGUGAUCAGAUCAACCCAGGGACAGGAGGUCUAAGGUCUCAAAUGGAUUUACCAGCAAAGCCAAGACUCUAGCCCAAGUGCCUGGAUCCCAUUUCAGAGUCUGUCCCAUCAGAGCACACAGCCAGGAAGGUGAGACAGCAGGUAUCGUGGAGAGAGGCCACUGAUUGGUCAGUGUCAGGCAUGCUGAGUUAUCUGUGGCCCUGUCCUAUUCUGAGCAUAUUUUCCUCUGCACAGAUAAAGUCAGAUCUUUGCACUUGUCCAGUGAGGUGUUCCUCACGGUAAAUGGAUGACAAUUGACAAAGUGCCUACUGUGCGCCCACCUUGGCCUGGGGCUUUCGUGGGUGUUAUCUUGCUUCCAUUGUCUUGGGGAAGGAGCCAGGAGGGAUGUGGAGGACAGAGG
rnacentral:lncRNA from 10 species